rnacentral:rRNA from 1 species
UACGGAGGGUGCAAGCGUUGUUCGGAAUCACUGGGCGUAAAGGGCGCGUAGGCGGUCCCAAAAGUCUGAUGUGAAAGCCCGGGGCUCAACCCCGGAAGGGCAUUGGAAACUGGGCAACUUGAGUACGGGAGAGGGUAGUGGAAUUCCGAGUGUAGGGGUGAAAUCCGUAGAUAUUCGGAGGAACACCGGUGGCGAAGGCGGCUACCUGGACCGAUACUGACGCUGAGGAGCGAAAGCGUGGGGAGCGAACAGG